rnacentral:misc_RNA from 1 species
AAGUCGUAACAAGGUUUCCGUAGGUGAACCUGCGGAAGGAUCAUUAACACGUUCUUACGUAUUCAUACCUGUGAAUCCGUCUGAUAAGUCUUUGUAGAGAAUGAUGUUAGCCGAGACAUAUUAUAGUGGGAAAUGCUUUCAGAAUUGAUCGGUAGUGAACUGCCUUGAUCACGUAGUAAGUUACUUUGAUCAGACUUGAAAAGCAAAUCUCGUCUCGGAUAGCCUGCUGUCUCUUUCCGUCUUAAAAGAGAUGACGCAUUAUUUUUACGGAAACGUAUUUUACAACUGUUAGCAAUGGAUAUCUCGGCUCUC